rnacentral:rRNA from 1 species
AUUGAACGCUGGCGGCAUGCUUUACACAUGCAAGUCGAACGGUAACAGGCCUUCGGGUGCUGACGAGUGGCGAACGGGUGAGUAAUGCAUCGGAACGUACCCAGAGGUGGGGGAUAACGCAGCGAAAGCUGUGCUAAUACCGCAUGUGAUCUGAGGAUGAAAGCGGGGGACCGAGCAGCAAUGUUUGGCCUCGCGCCUUUGGAGCGGCCGAUGUCGGAUUAGCUAGUUGGUGGGGUAAAGGCCUACCAAGGCGACGAUCCGUAGCUGGUCUGAGAGGACGACCAGCCACACUGGGACUGAGACACGGCCCAGACUCCUACGGGAGGCAGCAGUGGGGAAUUUUGGACAAUGGGCCCAAGCCUGAUCCAGCAAUGCCGCGUGCGGGAAGAAGGCCUUCGGGUUGUAAACCGCUUUUGGCAGGAACGAAACGGUGUCCGCUAAUACCGGGCGCUAAUGACGGUACCUGCAGAAUAAGCACCGGCUAACUACGUG